GCUCCUGAACGUGUGACUGUGCAGGUCAAUCUUCUGAAACGAGAAAUUAGAUAUGGUUGCGUUUGCUUUUGCAGCCGAGAGAAUGUUUGACUUUCCGAUGUAUUCCAUCCUAAACUACUAAAGCUUUUGCAAAGUAUCAAUCGGCUGGAACAGAGUUCCCAGAUUGGACCAGCAACUGUCUUGUCUACCGCAAGGUCAUCGCACCAAUAGAGAUGUUUGGUCGCGGGGAUCGUGUCCUUCUCUCGGAUCUACGCCGACUGCCCCGGCGACGCGAAGCAUCAACGAUCCGCUGAUAGUUGGUGAAUGAUCAUUUCACUGGUGGAUUGGCAUCUUUGCACCCGGGGGGGGGGGGGGGGGGGCAGUCAAAUAUAUUGCUGUACACAUGCGUGACCAAAAAAAAAACGCGUUUAAAGGGAUGUUUUUUCAGUUUUGGACGCGGGCCGCGCGUGCACUCGUUAAGGUAUCAAAAAGGGUGGUUUUGAAAGACUGGUCAAUGGUCAAUCGUAGGGUCAAAUGUAUUUAGGGUAUCUUUUUUCCAAAGCUUUUUUUCUUCUUCUAAGAUUGGCCAAACGUGUUAAGGGUAUGUUCUUUCUCCAAGCUUUUCCCCGAGGCUUUUUCCUCCUCGUUUCUGAAAAGUGUUCAGGUUGUUCCCGAUUGUGGUAUUGCACUGGGGGUAUGCAAUACCCAUGUAUAUACAUGUAGUUUUGUCUAUAUUUAAAUAUACGGUUAGCAAGAAGAUAAAACUUGUUUAGGAGUCAUAUUCUGGCGACAACUUAGGGGCCAAAAUGCGUAAAUGAAGCUCGCGGAAAACAUGUUUAGAGGGGUUAUUUUGCGCACAGAGAAACACUCGUUUAGGGGGUGUUUGGAAAUAAUUUGGCCACGCAUGCGUACAGUAAUAGAUUUGACUGCCCCCCCGGGCUUUGCACGCCCUAAGUCCCGCCUGCUACAAUUACUUCGCUGGACUAAGGAGUCUGACUGUGGAGCCUACAAUGCCAUGUAUACUGAAGGUCCUUUCAAAUGGAGACAUCAAAUUUUAUAUGUACUAGUCUUUGCGUGGAGACCCACUUGUUGAUCAAAGUUUCAAUCGGGGUCUGUGCCUGCAGACUACCCUAAGUCGACUAUGACUAGGGUUACUGGGAACUAGACCAGCGGAGAGUAAAGGAAUAUCCAUAUUACCCUCAGUAUUACAGAUGUCUACGGUGCACCGUCUAUCAGCAAAUAUCUGCAUGGGUCUACUUCAAUUACAACGAUUCCCGUCUGUACUUUGUCAACGUUGCAGUCAACAAAGAGAUCAAGAGCGCCAUAGACGUCUGCUUGUUAUUAUUCUCUCGGAUAUUAUUACAAAUGGAAAGCUUCCUGUGGACUUUGAUCACACAUUACGAGCAUCGGUGUGCGUCGGUGGCUCGGUUCCAUAUAAUCGAUUUGCAUAAAGGCUUGUGCUUGGUUCCUAUUGGUGGGAGCUCUGGUCACGUGACAAAUCUAUUAUACCUUCCAGUUGUUAUUAUGAUCAGUCGGUCAAUAGUACCUAUUAUAUCCCGCCGGAGCGUCGCUAUUCUACGGGUACACGUGGUGCUGGCGUGCUAACUGUGUAGAGUUUGAAAUACAUGUGCUCUAGUUUAAAUUGAGAGAGGUUUCCUGACAUAGUCGUGUUCGCUUCGGCAACACAUCUAUUAAAAUUGGAACGAUACAGAGAAGAUUAGCAUGGCCCCUGCGCAAAAGCUACCGACUAAUCUUCUCUGUCCCCGCGUCCCAUAGGCCCCCACGCCGGCGCUGUUUUGAUGAUUUUUGGGCAGAUCGUCUGCCAUAGAAGGAGGGCGGAGCUAUCGCUGGCGUGGGAAAUGGAGCCUUGUUUGAAAACAAAUCGGUCGGGUUCGGGCGUAUGGAACGCCGGAGAGGGGGAAAAAGAAAGUAAAUAAUGAAAUUUUAGGCACGAUUUUUAUUGUAAUGUAAUGACGGUUGAUUUUUUAAUAAAUGCAUUUUGUUUGAAAUG